UGGCUCGCGCCUCGUUCGCGCGCGCAUUGUGAGCAUUCAAGUUUCGUUUUUUGCACUUGCUUAGAAGCUGAAAUUGCCGACAUUGCGGGGUUGGGCUUGAUGACAUUUGUUGCUCAGCUGCCGCGACGCAUUUGGAGCAAAGCUUCUGCUUAUUUCCUGGCCGCACCUUAUAUUUGUUGCCUUUGUCAACAUCUGACCUGUUUCUGCCUUGUUGAAAGCAAGUGGCCACAAGUACUGCUUAGUUAGCUCAGUAUAUACCUGGCUGCUGUGUUUCAGCUAAAUCUGCUUUUCCUGUGUCCAGUGGCCUUGUCGCUCAAUUAGUGCUUGCCAAUUUCCAUUACACUGCAACCCACUAAAAAUAUGAAAUUUUAGAA